rnacentral:lncRNA from 1 species
CUCUGAUUGGCUGGCCGGAGGCGGAGCGAUUGUCAGGCGGCCCAAUCGGAGCGUGGUUUCCCACGGGCUCCCGCGGCCCCGCCCCCACGGCCUCCGGUGGAGGCUCCCUGGCAGCUCCCAUUGGCUGCCGGCGAGCGGUCCAGAGCUCGGCGGGGCACAUCUGCGCCGCCGCCGUCGGGCGCUCAGCUCUGCAGCGCGGAGAUCGCUUUGGAGCUCUCAGCUCCAGGGCCCCAGCGGCCCCGCAUUGUGCCCGGCGCGGGCGCGGGCGCGGGGAUCUGGGGCGGGCUUUGCAGGUUGAUGGCUGCAUUCCAGAUGUUAACACUGUCAGAAGCUUGACUUCCAUGUGUGCUGGGAAUCGAACUCAGGACCUUGAAUUUGCAAGGUAUUAUGACAAGUACUGGAGAAGGCUUAUGAUCGCCCAGUGGAUGAGACAUGUAUCCGUGCAUACAUGGAUCUGUGCAUACAUGAAGACAGGACUGUAAGGCAGAAGGAGAAGUAUGCAAAACUUAGAAGAGAAAUGCCUGUUGUGUUAGGAUCUGCAGAGGAGAUCUUUUCUCCUGAUCACUGCCAUAAAUAUUUGAAGAUGAGAUCGGGGGGGUCCUCAAAUUAUUGUCUGCGGACCAAAUCCUGCAGGCUUUCUGGUUUUGUGCAAUCAUUGAAAUACAAAUACUUUUUAUAUUUUUAAAUGGCUGAGAAUUAAAAAAACCCCACAAGGGCAAUAUAGUCAUGUGCCACAAACCAUGUUUCAGUCAGUAAUGGGUCAUACAUUGUUCAGUGGCCCCAUAUAAGAUUUCGUUGUCUGCGAUGUUGUAGCUGGUUUAGUUUGUAUACAUACAUUCUAUGAUGUUUGUACAACGAUGAAGUAGCCUAACGAUGAGUUUCUCAAAAUGUAUCCCCCUCAUUAAGUGAUACACAGCUGUAAUAAUUUGUGCCCUGUGAAAAUAAUAUGAAUUUCAAAUUUCAGUGUUCACAAUAAAGUUUUAUUGGAAC